UACGUAGGGUGCAAGCGUUGUCCGGAAUUAUUGGGCGUAAAGGGCUCGUAGGCGGUUUGUCGCGUCGGGAGUGAAAUCCACUGGCUUAACUGGUGGCUUGCUUUCGAUACGGGCAGACUGGAGGUAUGCAGGGGAGAACGGAAUUCCUGGUGUAGCGGUGAAAUGCGCAGAUAUCAGGAGGAACACCGGUGGCGAAGGCGGGUCUCUGGGCAGUAACUGACGCUGAGGAGCGAAAGCGUGGGGAGCAAACAGG
rnacentral:rRNA from 1 species